rnacentral:rRNA from 1 species
AAAUAUCUAAGUAACCGGAGGAAAAGAAUCAACCGAUUUUCCGUCAGUAGCGACGAGCGAACGCGGACUAGCCCUUAAGCUGGAUUGGUUCUAGGAAAACACUCUGGAAAGAGUGGCCAUAGAAGGUGACAGCCCUGUAUCUGAAAGGGCCAUUCUUGUGAAGACGAGUAGGGCGGGGCACGUGAAACCCUGUCUGAACAUGGGGGGACCAUCCUCCAAGGCUAAAUACUACUGACCGACCGAUAGUGAACCAGUACCGUGAGGGAAAGGCGAAAAGAACCCCGGAGAGGGGAGUGAAAUAGAACCUGAAACCGUGUGCGUACAAGCAGUAGGAGCUCCGCAAGGAGUGACUGCGUACCUUUUGUAUAAUGGGUCAGCGACUUACUGUUCGUGGCAAGCUUAACCGUAUAGGGGAGGCGAAGG